ACAACUCUAUCAGUAGAGCAUGAGACUCUUAAUCUCAUGGUUGUGGGUUCGAGCCCCAUGUUGGGUG